CAGCUCCAAUAGCGUAUAUUAAAGUUGUUGCGGUUAAAAAGCUCGUAGUUGGAUUUCUGUUGAGGAUGGCCGGUCCGCACUUUGUGCGUGUAUCUGGUUCAGCCUUGGCAUCCUCUUGGGGAACGUUUCUGUGUUUUAUUACAUGGGGCGGUAUUCAAGACUUUUACUUUGAGGAAAUUAGAGUGUUCACGGCAGGCAUUCGCCUUGAAUACAUUAGCAUGGAAUAAUAAUAUAGGACCUUGGUACUAUUUUGUUGGUUUCUAGAACUAAGGUAAUGAUUAAUAGGGAUAAUUGGGGGCAUUCGUAUUAACGCGUCAGAGGUGGAAUUCUUGGAUUGCGUUACGACGAACUACUGCGAAAGCAUUUGCCAAGGAUGUUUUCAUUGAUCAAGAACGAAAGUUAGGGGAUCGAAGACGAUUAGAUACCGUCGUAGUCUUAACCAUAAACUAUGCCAACUAGAGAUUGGAGGUCGUUCUUUUUAUGACUCCUUCAGCACCUUAUGAGAAAUCAAAGUCUUUGGGUUCCGGGGGAGUAUGGUCGCAAGGCUGAAACUUAAAGGAAUUGACGGAAGGGCACCACC
rnacentral:rRNA from 1 species